rnacentral:rRNA from 1 species
GAUGAACGCUGGCGGCGUGCCUAAUACAUGCAAGUCGAGCGAACAGAUGAGGAGCUUGCUCCUCUGACGUUAGCGGCGGACGGGUGAGUAACACGUGGAUAACCUACCUAUAAGACUGGGAUAACUUCGGGAAACCGGAGCUAAUACCGGAUAAUAUAUUGAACCGCAUGGUUCAAUAGUGAAAGACGGUUUUGCUGUCACUUAUAGAUGGAUCCGCGCCGCAUUAGCUAGUUGGUAAGGUAACGGCUUACCAAGGCAACGAUGCGUAGCCGACCUGAGAGAGGGACGGGAGGCACUGGAAGGGAAUCACGGGCCAGAGGGCUAAGGUGGACGGCAGUGGGCAGUGUGAGUGAGUGGGCUCAAGAGUUACAGAGCAACGGUGAGUGAGGAAUGAAAGUCUUGGAAGCGUAAAACACUGUUUUGAGGGAAGAAAAACUGUAUCAGUCACUAAACCCGUUGCGAGGAGACCUGAUAAGAAAUCCAAAGCUAACUAGAUG